rnacentral:other from 2 species
AAAAUCCUGAAGCAUUCGAUACGGCUUAUUUAAAUUCAACCGACAAAUGUUGAACGGGAGACCGUGUCUACUAAAAUAUAACAUGCCUGUAUUUAUAUAGGAAGUUAAAAGUUAGUAGUAGGUCACCCACCUGGGAGUAUCUCGGGUAUGAAUUUAUUGGGCCAACGGUGUUUUGGGAUUUUU